UAGGGAAUCUUCCACAAUGGGGCGAAAGCCUGAUGGAGCAACGCCGCGUGUGUGAUGAAGGGUUUCGGCUCGUAAAACACUGUUGUAAGAGAAGAAUGACAUUGAGAGUAACUGUUCAAUGUGUGACGGUAUCUUACCAGAAAGGACGGCUAAAUACGUGCUAG
rnacentral:rRNA from 1 species